GCUCUUAUAGCUCAGUGGUAGGGCACUCCCUUGGUAAGGGAGAGGUCUCGAGUUCAAAUCUCGAUAAGAGCUCCA
rnacentral:tRNA from 1 species